GGGGAUGUUUAGGAUUCGACAGGUGUAGGUCGAGCUUAGGCUGCGUUUGGUAGGUUGCGACUACCAUAAAACGCUCAGUUAAAUUAUAACUGCAAAAAACAAUAACAAUUCAUACGCUCUGGCUGCCUAAUCGCGCCAUUGCGUGAUCCACACGGCAUCGUCCACGUGUCGCUGUUGGGUCUCACCAAUUAGUGGACUUACGCUUUAUGCCGCCACCUGAGGGAUAAAGAAGAGAUUAUCAGGUUAGCUAUUAGCGGUGGCCAGGUUAUUCGGCGGAGCUGGUAGUGAAGGUUAAAUAGAAUGACUAUGAACGUAGACGCUUAAGUGGCGAUACGCUUGGACGCGGGUUCGACUCCCGCCAUCUCCAU
rnacentral:tmRNA from 1 species